GCUGACUCCUGCAGGACAGGCUGCCUUCUCCAGACGGGCCCAAAAGAGAGGCAAGAGCAGCUGGAGCAAGUUACCCAGCAUCUGGUUGAGAUGACCAAAUUACCAGAAAGAUAAGUUUCUUGCUGAUUUGGCAACAGAAAUUCCAGUCCUGACUGGAUUUGUGAUUCAUGGAAAAGAUCAAAUGCUGUUCAGUGACCUCUACUGUAUUUUGGAACAGACUUUCUCCCAGGUUUAUCACAAGUCCUGAAGCCUGAGAACUGCGGAAACUGAGCAAGACCAGUGUAGGCAAACGGUGUUAAAAGCAUCAGGCAUGUAACUGCGGCAUCCGUCACCGGAGUACCUACUUGCUGCACAUUGUCCUGCUUUGAAGACGAUGAAUUUUCAAGAGCUUGAGCCAGAUUUCCCGGACCCGAGCAUCAGGGAGAAAUACAUUUGCUGUAAAAAGCGAGGGCACCCGCUUCCUGACUGGAACAGAUUGAGCUGCUUAUGAGUACAGAGCCUCUAUUGUUCUGCCCUGUGAGAUUGUGCUAAAAGCUUUGAAGCAACGUUUGCAUGUAGGUGUCAGUUUUCUAAGCAGCUUUUUUCUUUCCCUGUUUAAAAAAAAAAAAAAAAAAGAACAAAUCCUGCCACCCUACUCUCCCAGCCUUUUCUUGGCAGUGGCUGUUUGACUUGGUAAUUGUUUAUUUUAUGAUGUGUUGUUUAGGUUUCCCGGUUUUUCUUUGGCCUGGCUAUUUAACCUCUUUUCCUUAUUGGAUCAAAAUCAGAGUAUACUCAGUGAGUUAGUGCAGGAACUUUGCAAUUAUAGACGAUAGAGAUUCAUAAUGUUGUAUUACGCAGGAGUAUUACGUGGAGUAUUAUAUGUGAUAAACUAUAGUGUGUGUCCACUACUUAAAUGUCUUAAUUCCUUUGUGAAAUCCAAAGAUUAAUAAAAUGGCUGCAGUAGAAAUAUAAAUACAAAUUGCAGGCAGGAGCUGUAGACCUGCAAUACACAA